rnacentral:rRNA from 1 species
GACGAACGCUGGCGGCGUGCUUAACACAUGCAAGUCGAACGGAAAGGCCCUGCUUUUGUGGGGUGCUCGAGUGGCGAACGGGUGAGUAACACGUGAGUAACCUGCCCUUGACUUUGGGAUAACUUCAGGAAACUGGGGCUAAUACCGGAUAGGAGCUCCUGCUGCAUGGUGGGGGUUGGAAAGUUUCGGCGGUUGGGGAUGGACUCGCGGCUUAUCAGCUUGUUGGUGGGGUAGUGGCUUACCAAGGCUUUGACGGGUAGCCGGCCUGAGAGGGUGACCGGCCACAUUGGGACUGAGAUAGGGCCAAGACUCCUACGGGAGGAAGCAGUGGGGAAUAUUGCACAAUGGGCGGAAGCCUGAUGCAGCAACGCCGCGUGCGGGAUGACGGCCUUCGGGUUGUAAACCGCUUUCGCCUGUGACGAAGCGUGAGUGACGGUAAUGGGUAAAGAAGCACCGGCUAACUACGUG